CAAUAACGACUCUCGGCAACGGAUAUCUAGGCUCUUGCAUCGAUGAAGAACGUAGCGAAAUGCGAUACUUGGUGUGAAUUGCAGAAUCCCGUGAACCAUCGAGUCUUUGAACGCAAGUUGCGCCCGAAGCCUUCUGGCUGAGGGCACGCCUGCCUGGG
rnacentral:rRNA from 2 species